rnacentral:rRNA from 1 species
GAACGUUGGCGGCGUGCUUAUACAUGCAAGUCAACUGAAGCACCGGUAGUAAUACUGGUGUGGAGGUGGCGCACGGGUGAGUAACACGUAGGUAAUCUGCCUUCAGGUCUGACAUAACCCCGAGAAAUCGGGGCUAAUAGCAGAUGAUGCAGCGGCUUGACAUCGAGACAGUUGUUAAAGCUUCGGCGCCUGAAGAUGAGCCUGCGUCUGAUUAGCUAGUUGGCGGAGUAAUGGCCCACCAAGGCUACGAUCAGUAACUGGUCUGAGAGGAUGAUCAGUCACACUGGAACUGAGACACGGUCCAGACUCCUACGGGAGGCAGCAGUAAGGAAUAUUGCUCAAUGGGAGAAAUCCUGAAGCAGCAACGCCGCGUGAGGGAUGAAGGGCUUUUGCUCGUAAACCUCUGUAGUGAGGGAAAAAAUUUCCACUCUGUGGAAUAUGAUGGUACCUCAAAAGUAAGCCCCGGCUAACUACGUG